AGGGCAUGAUGAAGACAUUCCAAAGAUGUUUUUUAAAUCAUUCACAUAAUUCAAAAUAGAAUCACCAUCCAACUGAGUAAGAGAAGUGAUGUUAUUUCUAAGUUU